rnacentral:rRNA from 1 species
GUACCAUGCAGUCGAGCGAGAUCUUCGGAUCUAGCGGCGGACGGGUGAGUAACGCGUGGGAACGUACCCUCUUCUGCGGGAUAGCCACUGGAAACGGUGAGUAAUACCGCAUACGCCCUUCGGGGGAAAGAUUUAUCGGAGGAGGAUCGGCCCGCGUUGGAUUAGGUAGUUGGUGGGGUAAUGGCCUACCAAGCCUACGAUCCAUAGCUGGUUUUAGAGGAUGAUCAGCCACACUGGGACUGAGACACGGCCCAGACUCCUACGGGAGGCAGCAGUGGGGAAUCUUAGACAAUGGGCGCAAGCCUGAUCUAGCCAUGCCGCGUGAGUGACGAAGGCCUUAGGGUCGUAAAGCUCUUUCGCCUGUGAUGAUAAUGACAGUAGCAGGUAAAGAAACCCCGGCUAACUCCGUGCCAGCAGCCGCGGUAAUACGGAGGGGGUUAGCGUUGUUCGGAAUUACUGGGCGUAAAGCGCACGUAGGCGGAUUGGAAAGUAUGGGGUGAAAUCCCAGGGCUCAACCCUGGAACGGCCUCAUAAACUUCCAGUCUGGAGUUCGAGAGAGGUGAGUGGAAUUCCGAGUGUAGAGGUGAAAUUCGUAGAUAUUCGGAGGAACACCAGUGGCGAAGGCGGCUCACUGGCUCGAUACUGACGCUGAGGUGCGAAAGUGUGGGGAGCAAACAGGAUUAGAUACCCUGGUAGUCCACACCG